GAGUUCAUGGCAGUCUCAUGCACCGGAAGAGGCGAGGCUGGACCAUGCAAGCAGCGAGUGCGCAUGAAGAGAAACGGAACGAAUUUCCAUGCUCUUAUGCGCAUCAUGCGUGAAACGGAACGCACCCUUCGAACAAUAGAUAUUCUCUUUAAUUACAUAUUUUCAUAGAUUAUAUAUAUAUAGGAUUAGUUUCUAAUAUUUGUGAAUUACGUAUAUCUGGUUUCUUAGCAACCGAUAAAACAAUAAGAUAGUUUGUUUUAUUUUUCAGCAACGAUCGUAAUGUGAUGGACGGAUUCACUUUAUCAAGAAUUUCAAAAAUGUUGUUCCUAAGAAAUGUACAAAAGAUUCGUUUUUACGAUACUCCAUUAUUACGAAGAUCAUUCAAUACAAAUCAAAGACGCUUCUUCUACGAGGACGACAGCAAGGCGUUUCACAACUUUAAAUUGAAGCAAGCAAAGAUGCAGUGCGACGAUGACCUUCCUGUCUAUUUAAAGUGCGGCGCACGUGAUAAAAUAUUAUUUAACUUUACAAUAGGUUUGCUUUUAUGUAACACCCUUGCAACGCUUUAUGGAGUCAAGGAAAUGUUCAGACAAUUUUAAUCUU